AUACCAUGGUGAGGGCACUUCCUUUGCAAUUCCUGAAAAUUCCUCUCAUGCCUCAUAGAGUGAAUCACCAUCCUUUUGAGUGAAGUUCUGAAUCUCCCGCCUUAGUCU